rnacentral:lncRNA from 1 species
GAAAAACUAGUGCACAAAUUUAUUUUAAUAAGCUGGAUAUGCAGCAUAAAUAUUUAUCAUUAUAUUUUUUAUUUAUUUAUUUUUAUCUGUUCUGAUGUCGUCUACUUUCCUACCUGGAAGAGGAGCUGAGUGAGCAAGGGCAGCCUGAAUGCCUCAAACUCCUGGGGAAUUUUCUCUCUUGGAAGCCAGUGGCAGCUUUACAUCUUUGUGUUAAUGUGUGACCAGGAAUAUGCCAAUUUGAUUCACUGCUCUGGAAAUACAGAGAGAUGGAAUGGAGUUCAAGCAAGGGAAGUUGAGAUAGAUCAUCUGCCUGCACCAAAGUAUAAGCAGUCACCAGCUGAUGUCAUACAUUGCUUGAUGGCAUUGAUAUUGCUGGGAAAAUCUCUGACUGAAAACAGUAAGGAUAAAAAAAAUGGCUGACUGUAUGUUUCUUUUCCUGAUUGAAUAGAAGGUGAUAAAUUUGUUUUUGUUCCAUUUAUAGGCAUG